GAUGAACGCUGGCGGCGUGCCUAAUACAUGCAAGUCGAGCGAACAGACGAGGAGCUUGCUCCUCUGACGUUAGCGGCGGACGGGUGAGUAACACGUGGAUAACCUACCUAUAAGACUAGGAUAACUUCGGGAAACCGGAGCUAAUACCGGAUAAUAUAUUGAACCGCAUGGUUCAAUAGUGAAAGACGGUUUUGCUGUCACUUAUAGAUGGAUCCGCGCCGCAUUAGCUAGUUGGUAAGGUAACGGCUUACCAAGGCAACGAUGCGUAGCCGACCUGAGAGGGUGAUCGGCCACACUGGAACGGAGACACGGUCCAGACUCCUACGGGAGGCAGCAGUAGGGAAUCUUCCGCAAUGGGCGAAAGCCUGACGGAGCAACGCCGCGUGAGUGAUGAAGGUCUUCGGAUCGUAAAACUCUGUUAUUAGGGAAGAACAAAUGUGUAAGUAACUAUGCACGUCUUGACGGUACCUAAUCAGAAAGCCACGGCUAACUACGUG
rnacentral:rRNA from 1 species